GACGAACGCUGGCGGCGUGCUUAACACAUGCGAGUCGAACGGAAAGGCCUGCUUUCCCUUGUGGAUUGCGGGUACUCGAGUGGCGAACGGGUGAGUAACACGUGAGUGAUCUGCCCCCAACUUGGGUAUAAGCCUGGGAAACUGGGUCUAAUUCCCGAUAGGACUGCAGGGUGGUGCCUGUGGUGGAAAACGAUUUUCUAGUGGUUGGGGAUGAGCUCGCGGCCUAUCAGCUUGUUGGUGGGGUAAUGGCCUACCAAGGCGGCGACGGGUAGCCGGCCUGAGAGGGUGGACGGCCACAUUGGGACUGAGAUACGGCCCAGACUCCGACGGGAGGCAGCAGUGGGGAAUAGUGCACAAUGGGCGGAAGCCUGAUGCAGCGACGCCGCGUGGGGGAUGACGGCCUUCGGGUUGUAAACUCCUUUCGACCGCGAGGAAGCCACCUGGUUGGAAGGGUGGUGACGGUAGUGGUAGAAGAAGCACCGGCUAACUACGUG
rnacentral:rRNA from 1 species